rnacentral:rRNA from 1 species
GUGGGGAAUCUUCCGCAAUGGACGAAAGUCUGACGGAGCAACGCCGCGUGAGUGAUGACGGCCUUCGGGUUGUAAAGCUCUGUGAUCGGGGACGAAUGGCUGGUAUGCUAAUACCAUAUCAGAGUGACGGUACCCGAAUAGCAAGCCACGGCUAACUACGUGCCAGCAGCCGCGGUAAUACGUAGGUGGCCAGCGUUGUCCGGAAUUAUUGUGCGUAAAGCGCGCGCAGGCGGCUUCUUAAGUCCAUCUUAAAAGUGCGGGGCUUAACCCCGUGAUGGGAUGGAAACUGGGAGGCUGGAGUAUCGGAGAGGAAAGUGGAAUUCCUAGUGUAGCGGUGAAAUGCGUAGAGAUUAGGAAGAACACCGGUGGCGAAGGCGACUUUCUGGACGACAACUGACGCUGAGGCGCGAAAGCGUGGGGAGCAAACAGGAUUAGAAACCCGUGUAGUCC